GAUCCUGGCUCAGAAUCAACGCUGGCGGCGUGCCUAACACAUGCAAGUCGAACGAGAAAGUGGUAGCAAUACCAUGAGUAAAGUGGCGCACGGGUGAGUAACACGUGACUAACCUACCCUGGAGUGGGGGAUAACUGAGGGAGACCUUAGCUAAUACCGCAUAAUACCCACGGGUCAAAGGAGCAAUUCGCUUUGGGAGGGGGUCGCGGCCGAUUAGUUAGUUGGCGGGGUAAUGGCCCACCAAGACGAUGAUCGGUAUCCGGCCUGAGAGGGCGCACGGACACACUGGAACUGAAACACGGUCCAGACUCCUACGGGAGGCAGCAGUGGGGAAUUUUGCGCAAUGGGGGAAACCCUGACGCAGCAACGCCGCGUGGAGGAUGAAGUCCUUCGGGACGUAAACUCCUUUCGAUCGGGACGAUAAUGACGGUACCGGAAGAAGAAGCCCCGGCUAACUUCGUGCCAGCAGCCGCGGUAAUACGAGGGGGGCGAGCGUUGUUCGGAAUUAUUGGGCGUAAAGGGUGCGUAGGCGGCUUGGUAAGUCUUAUGUGAAAUCUAUGGGCUCAACUCAUAGACUGCAUGAGAAGCUGCCGGGCUCGAGUGUGGGAGAGGUGAGUGGAAUUUCCGGUGUAGCGGUGAAAUGCGUAGAUAUCGGAAGGAACACCUGUGGCGAAAGCGGCUCACUGGACC
rnacentral:rRNA from 1 species